GACGAACGCUGGCGGCAUGCCUAAUACAUGCAAGUUGAACGAUGAUAUUCUCUGCUUGCAGAGAAUUGAAGAGUAGCGAACGGGUGAGUAACACGUGGGGAACCUGCCCAUGAGAGGGGGAUAACAUUCGGAAACGGAUGCUAAUACCGCAUAAUACUUUGAACCGCCUGGUCCAGAGACGAAAGACGGCUUUUGCUGUCACUCAUGGAUGGCCCCGCGCCGUAUUAGCUAGUUGGUGAGGUAAUGGCUCACCAAAGCUGUGAUACGUAGCCGACCUGAGAGGGUGAUCAGCCACACUGGGACUGAGACACGGCCCAGACUCCUACGGGAGGCAGCAGUAGGGAAUCUUCCACAAUGGGCGAAAGCCUGAUGGAGCAAUGCCGCGUGAAUGAAGAAGGUCUUCGGAUCGUAAAGUUCUGUUAUUAGAGAAGAACAAGUCAAGGAGUAACUGUCUUGACUUUGACGGUACCUAAACAGAAAGUCACGGCUAACUACGUG
rnacentral:rRNA from 1 species